AGAAAAUAUAUACCGUAUUUUCCGGCGUAUAAGAUGACUGGGCGUAUAAGACAACCCCCAACUUUUCCAGUUAAAAUAUAGAGUUUGGGAUAUACUCGCAAUAUAAGACUACUCCUCUUCCAACGCACACCAAAUAAAAAUUAGCCAUGAUGUACAGUGAGCAGACAGAGCUACACAGCAAGACAUUAAAUAAUGAUAAUCUGAAAUAGCUUUUAAAGCCCAGGUAUGUGCCAGGCUGUUUGGGCAUAUAAUCCAUGCCUGCUGGUCUAGCACACAGGAGGCUAAUUGUGAUAUAUGCGCAUCUUGCCAAUGCUUAGCCCUUUAUUCUGCUGUGACUACCGUAUUUUAAACCUGGCUGGACUCGGCUACCUGGACUUGGGGAAUUUAUGGGGCGCAUAGGGCAAACACUACCAAGGCUGGGCGAAAUGGGGAAACUGUACUCAGACUGGGGUGGCAUGGGGAAAACACUAUACCAGCUUGUUGGCAUUGUGAAAAGUGCACUCAUGAUGUGUGGAAUGGAGC